AGCAGGAAUACUUCAUGGUGGUUACAAUUGAUAUUGCAUUUACCAAAUCUUCCCAUCUGUGUACUUGACAGACUGCUAAUCCUUUUUAACCACUGUACUACAGAAUACAUAGUUUUUUACUUUUAUGCAUUUUGCAGAAUGAAAUUUGGUUAAUAAAGCCUCACUUACCCUCCUAUAUACUCUAGUAAUGAACACCAGCCUAUAG